rnacentral:rRNA from 1 species
AUUGAACGCUAGCGGGAUGCUUUACACAUGCAAGUCGAACGAGUGGCGGACGGGUGAGUAAUAUAUCGGAAGUGCCCAGUAGCGGGGGAUAACUACUGGAAACGGUAGCUAAUACCGCAUACUAUCGGAUAACCCAUAUGGGAUUAGCUAGUAGGUGAGGUAAUGGCUCACCUAGGCGACGAUCCCUAGCUGGUCUGAGAGGAUGAUCAGCCACACUGGGACUGUGACACGGCCCAGAGUCGUACGGAGGCGGCAGUGGGGAAUAUUGCACAAUGGGCGCAAGCCUGAUGCAGCCAUGCCGCGUGUAUGAAGAAGGCCAUAGGGUUGUAAAGUACUUUCAGUCGGGAGGCGUUGCCGACAGAAGAGGCACCGGCUAACUACGUGCCAGCAGCCGCGGUAAUAC